rnacentral:rRNA from 1 species
UACAGAGACGUCGAGCGUUGUUCGGAUUCAUUGGGCGUAAAGCGCGCGCAGGCGGUCCCUUUAAGUCUGAUGUGAAAGCCCACGGCUCAACCGUGGAGGGUCAUUGGAAACUGGGGGACUUGAGUGCAGGAGAGAAGAGUGGAAUUCCACGUGUAGCGGUGAAAUGCGUAGAGAUGUGGAGGAACACCAGUGGCGAAGGCGACUCUUUGGCCUGUAACUG